rnacentral:rRNA from 1 species
UACGUAGGGGCCAAGCGUUGUCCGGAUUUAUUGGGCGUAAAGAGCUCGUAGGCGGUUCGGUAAGUCAGGGGUGAAAUCCCAGAGCUCAACUCUGGAACUGCCUUUGAUACUGGGUAUCUCGAGUAUGGAAGAGGUGAGUGGAAUUCCGAGUGUAGAGGUGAAAUUCGUAGAUAUUCGGAGGAACACCAGUGGCGAAGGCGGCUCACUGGUCCAUUACUGACGCUGAGGUGCGAAAGCGUGGGGAGCAAACAGG